GGUUUUGCCAAUUUCCCUGACUUUCAAGAAUAUGGCUUCUGCUAUAAAAUAAGGGAUUAUUUAAACCAUAUUAGCUAAGAUUUACUGAGCAUUCACUGUGAAAAAUGGUUCAUGCACAUUAUUUUAUUUAAUUCUUAUAGCACUCCAGCCCACAGGCUCCAGACCCAGCAGUCAGCCCUAGUGGCUCAUCCUAGCCAGUAGUCCCCACCUAGAGGAGACAGCCAAGGAUUUCAUUUCAUUAGCAGUGGCACUUAAAUAUUCGUGAAAUUUAAAAAUGGUAACUGCAGUUCCAAUUCAUGGAUCGUCAAAGAAAGCAGAGAACAUAGGAUUUACAAAAGGUACAGGUUUGGCAGAUUUAAAGCCUGAUAGU